rnacentral:lncRNA from 1 species
AUUCCUUCCCCGCAUCUGCUAGAGAGCAGGGCAAGGCCAAAGGGUCAGAGGCUCGAGGAAUGCGGGGUGGUGUCGGGGGGUAAAAGGACAUACCUGAGAAGGCCCCAGACCCUCGCUCCACCAGGAGCUGGUGAGAGGCAGACCAAGCCUGAAAGCAAGAAUGCCUGACAACCAUAUCCGUGCUCCCUGUCCCAGUCCACCACCUUCCCACCCAUGCUGCAAAGCUGUGUGACCUCUAACAGGUUACCUCCACUCUCUGGACCUUUGUGUUCUCAUCUAUAAAGUGACAGUCAGUCAACGAGCCCAUGCUGAGCCUCUGCUAUCUGCAGGAGCUGUGCCAGGCACCAGCAGCCAGAUAAGCGUGGCUCGAAGGUCCCACGGCUCUCCCUCUUCCUGAGUGGGCACUCGGCACCAGGGCUGACGAAAGAGACAGAGAACACUGGGGGAAGCAUCUCACACACCUUUGGCAGAACCAGCUCAGCUCCCUGACUUUUGGGACUCCUGGCCUCCCAGCGCUCCUGCUCCCACUGUAUCACAGCCUGAAGCUACUUCCAGGAACUUUCCUAGAGUGGCUGGUGUCUAAAGGUUGCCUCUGGACAAUCUCUCCCCAGAUCACCUGAUGCCUGAGCAUGGGAAAUUGGGUCCUCUGGCUAACCAGAGGUCAUAUCUGUGAAUUCUUUUCAUCCCUCCUAGCAGCUGGGGUGUUAUACAUCAAAGUGGCUGCCACAGCAUCUGGCCCACAGUAGGUCUUAACAAGUAUCUGUCCAUGGACGGAUGGACAGAUAAAUGGAUGGAUGGAUGGAUGGAUGGAUGAGGGAAUGGCUAGAAGGGUGAUUAGGAGACUCAAGGAUGAAGGGGUGCUAUUCAGGAGGCCUUGGUGACACAGGCAGGAGAUGGGGGAGGCCCAUGCAGAGCUCAGCUUACUGACCCCAGCUUACUGACAGUGCCAGUCUCCCGCUGAGGCUCUGCGAGACACACAGCACACUGGCAGGAACAGAGGCUGUGAGCCAUCACAGCAGGUAAUGAUGAGCCCCUGCUACCUGCCUGGUCAGCUCCCACUGAGCUGAGCGGCAGCUCCAACCAAGGCUGCCUCAUGUGUCUCGGCAGAGCCGGGACGGGCUGGGCCUGAGCCUGGGCCUGGGCCUGGAUGUCCAAUGAUAUGGUUUGGCUCUGUGUCCCCACCCAAAUCUCAUGUGGAAUUGCAAUCUCCAUAUUGGGGUUGAGAUCUGGUAGGAGGUGAUUGAAUCAUGGGUGCAGAUUUCCCCCUUGCUGUUCUCAUGAUAGUGAGUUUUCACGAGAUCUGGUUGUUUGCAAGUGUGUUGCUCUUCCCCCUUUUCUCUCUGUCUCCUGUUGCCAUGUGAAGAUGUGCCUGCUUCCCCUUCACUUCCUGCCAUGAUUGUAAGUUUCCCAAGGCCUCCCCAGCCAUAGUUCCUGUACAGCCUGUGGAACUGCGAGUCAAUUAAACCUCUUUUCUUCAUAAAUUACCCAGUCUCGGGUAGUUCUUUAUAGUAGUGUGAGAACAGACUAAUACAGCCAAUGUCUGUGGCAGGCCCUGGAACACCCAGAGCAUCAUCCACUGCCCCUUCUCUAAUGGACACAGCCCUAAGACUAGACUUGCCACAUGAAAUACCGAUGCAAUACAGGGGCCAUACUUAUAUGAAGAAUGAUGCAUUUUU